AGGACGAACGCUGGCGGCGUGCUUCACACAUGCAAGUCGAGCGGAAAGGCCCUUCGGGGUACUCGAGCGGCGAACGGGUGAGUAACACGUGAGUAACCUGCCCCUAGCACCGGGAUAGCUCCGGGAAACCGGAAUUAAUACCGGAUAUGACCACGAUCGGCAUCGGCCGUGGUGGAAAGGAUUCCGGCUAGGGAUGGACUCGCGGCCUAUCAGCUAGUUGGUUGGGGUAACGCCCACCAAGGCGACGACGGGUA
rnacentral:rRNA from 1 species